UGAACAUUUUAAACCCGACCGCUAAGUGUGUGCCUUAUUCUCUGUUAUUGUGAUUCAAAAAUCAGAAGAAUCGGCGCGAUGGGGACGAGGCAAAGGGACUUGAACAAGUCCUUCAACCUCGCCAUACGUUCUCUGCUCGCUCCCUGCUCUUUUCAGGAAUUCUGUGAAGCGCUGCCGAGUUUCACAGCUGCUGAGCAUGAACGUCUUCACAGGCUCUUUACUCAGGUCAUGAGUUCUUUGCAUGGGAAUGUAGAGGACGAGUUUCAGCAUAUAUGUCUCGAAACACAGGUUGGAACUGCAAUGGAUACUGUAGAGCAACUGGUGGAAGAACAAAGUCUGGAUCCUUUGUUUUCAAAUAAGACUAAUGUAAUGGAUGUUGCUCACGAUCUGUCAAGAACAACAAAGAAGGAGAUCCAGUACUUGACAGAGAUGCUUGAAAAGGUCCAUUGUUGCACAGGAAAGGAGCUCUCCCCCAUUGUUCAAUAUUGGGGAUUAAAUCUUAUUUCUUGGGAUGAGAACACGAACUUUACCAAGCUAGCUGGCGGAGGCACAGAAUCACCUUAAGCGGGAUCGUAUUGAACUGUUAAAGAAAGGAAGACCAGAUAUGUCGGACAUGGCAAAUGCUGUUGAGAAGUUGAAAAGUGGGAUUUCAAGUUAUGGAAUGUAUAACAGCAAUGGGGUCCAUGAUUCAUGACUGCAGUCAGCAUAUUGAGGAAACUGGUCUUGUGGAUAAGCCUAUGUGCUUUUGAUUUCAAACAUUAGAUCUUUGUUUGGCAUGUACUUCCAUAUAAUCAGAAUGCUCAAGUUCUAAUUGUAAUAUAGGGUUGUAAUAUAGGUCUAAAUGCAGAUCUAGGAUCUUAUCUUUAAGGUUUUUGUUUCUUUUUUGAUUUUGGUUAACAUCUGUAAGGUUUUUGUAUUCUUUGUGCAAGAUGUGUUGCUAAGUAUGUCUUAUUGUUCUUA